UCCUUAGACGUUCUGGGCCGCACGCGCGCUACACUGACGAAGGCAACGAGCUUUCCUUUACCGAAAGGUACGGGUAAUCUUUUGAAACUUCGUCGUGCUGGGGAUAGAUCCUUGCAAUUAUUGAUCUUAAACGAGGAAUUCCUAGUAAGCGCAAGUCAUCAACUUGCGUUGAUUACGUCCCUGCCCUUUGUACACACCGCCCGUCGCUACUACCGAUUGAAUGGUUUAGUGAGGCCUUCGGAUCCGCGACUCGUUUUGUGGAGAAGUUGGACAAACUCAGUCAUUUAGAGGAAGUAAAAGUCGUAACA
rnacentral:rRNA from 1 species